UCCGAGUUGUCCCCGGCAGUCUCCCACGAGUCCCCGGCAUCACCCGCUGGCAACAUGGGACAAGGGUUGCGCUCGUUGCGGGACUUAACCCAACAUCUCACGACACGAGCUGACGACAACCAUGCACCACCUGUACACCCCCAACUAAAUGACCCCACAUCUCUGCAGGAACUGGGUGUAUGUCAAGCCCUGGUAAGGUUCUUCGCGUUGCAUCGAAUUAAGCCGCAUGCUCCGCCGCUUGUGCGGGCCCCCGUCAAUUCCUUUGAGUUUUAGCCUUGCGGCCGUACUCCCCAGGCGGGGUGCUUAAUGCGUUAGCUUCGGCACGGGCGGAGUCGACACCGCCCACACCUAGCACCCAUCGUUUACGGCGUGGACUAC
rnacentral:misc_RNA from 1 species